rnacentral:rRNA from 1 species
AUACGUAGGGGGCGAGCGUUGUCCGGAAUGAUUGGGCGUAAAGGGCGCGUAGGCGGCGCGGUAAGUCUGGAGUGAAAGUCCUGCUUUCAAGGUGGGAAUUGCUUUGGAUACUGCCGCGCUUGAGUGCAGGAGAGGUUAUCGGAAUUCACGGUGUAGCGGUGAAAUGCGUAGAGAUCGGGAGGAACACCAGUGGCGAAGGCGGGUAACUGGACUGCAACUGACGCUGAGGCGCGAAAGUGUGGGGAGCAAACAGGAUUAGAUACCCUGGUAGUCCACACUGUAAACGAUGAAUGCUAGGUGUAAGAGGUAUCGACCCCUUUUGUGCCGGAGUCAACACAAUAAGCAUUCCGCCUGGGGAGUACGGCCGCAAGGUUGAAACUCAAAGGAAUUGACGGGG